GUAGGUGGCAAGCGUUGUCCGGAAGUAUUGGGCGUAAAGCGCGCGCAGGCGGUUCUUUAAGUCUGAUGUGAAAGCCCACGGCUCAACCGUGGAGGGUCAUUGGAAACUGGAGAACUUGAGUACAGAAGAGGAAAGCGGAAUUCCACGUGUAGCGGUGAAAUGCGUAGAGAUGUGGAGGAACACCAGUGGCGAAGGCGGCUUUCUGGUCUGUAACUGACGCUGAGGCGCGAAAGCGUGGGGGAGCAAACAGGAUUAGAUACCCUGGUAGUCCACGCCGUAAACGAUGAGUGCUAAGUGUUAGGGGGUUUCCGCCCCUUAGUGCUGCAGCUAACGCAUUAAGCACUCCGCCUGGGAGUACGGCCGCAAGGCUG
rnacentral:rRNA from 1 species